AUGAAAAAUAUAUCGAAUAUCGGGAAUAUCCUAAUGCGGACGAAGAUGCGCCGAUGGUCACGAAAUUAGUUCGACCAACAAAUCUUUUUAUAAAUAUCAUUAAAACACAGUUAAUGGCUUUUAAUCGUUCGUGGCAACAUCACUGGGCAUCCACACAACUUCUUGAAAAGAUGAUAAAUGAAGGAUGAAGUUUAAAAGUUAAUUGCUUCUUUAGUGGAAUAGGCCUAUUGGGGAUACCACUUAAAAAAAAACGUAUCGGCAAUAGUACCUCUUAGUUAUUAUGAUGUCAAGAUCUCUCAAGGUGAGCAUCGCUGUGUCAGUCGGUAGUCCCGCCGGACGAAUUGAAGCGGCAAUAGGAAGUAAAUAAAUAUAGCCCUUGAAAAUCGUCUCCAUUUAGCAAAUAAUUUCGAAUAUUACAUUAGAGGAAUAUAACGAGACCAAAGAGAUUGUUCGUAUUACGGUUUCUCCUGUACUCUUGUAUUACUACCGCCAGCGCAAAAUAAAACUUGUUAGCUCUCUCAAAAUUGGCGUGCAGAUCUUUUGCCCAAAAUCCUUCGACUCCCUUCGGAUAAUUCCUUCUCCGAUUCAAAAUAUGUAAGAGCAACCGAUCCCGUGUGGACAAUCGAUCACGGGAAGGUUUCUUUUUUUUCGGAAAUUAGCGGAAAAUUUUAGCGUUGGCGACCCAUUUCGCGAAUUAUACAGGAUUGCCGUACCUGGCGCCCAACGUUCAAACAUUAGCUUUCGAGCUGGGUCAGAAAGCCGACGGUAAUUGACGCGAGAAAUCGUCGCAAAACAUAGAGAAUACGUAAUGCAUUUAAUCUCAGCGAGAAAUAAGUCAUCGAUCGACAUCGAAACAAUAUCGAAUGGACGUCGACUUGACGGUUUCGAUGGCGAUUCGACAUUGUUUCGACGUCGAUGAACGAGUUAUUUUUCGAGUUAUUAUAUGCUGCAACUUUUAUCCUUUCGAUACGCCGUUCACAAAAUUUCUUUGAGUGAAAUAUAAUAAAAAAAUAAAAAAAAUAAAAUAAGUCAUCACCGAGUCACUCAAACUUUUUUCAGUUAUGUGCAAUAAUUUUUAAUAACUUUCCACUCAUAUAGAAUGAUU